rnacentral:rRNA from 1 species
UACAGAGGUCUCAAGCGUUGUUCGGAUUCAUUGGGCGUAAAGGGUGCGUAGGCGGCGCGGUAAGUCGGGUGUGAAAUCUUGGAGCUUAACUCCGAAACUGCAUUCGAUACUGCCGUGCUUGAGGACUGGAGAGGAGACUGGAAUUUACGGUGUAGCGGUGAAAUGCGUAGAUAUCGUAAGGAAGACCAGUGGCGAAGGCGGGGUCUCUGGACAGUUCCUGACGCUGAAGCACGAAGGCCAGGGGGAGCAAACGGGG